GAUGAACGCUGGCGGCGUGCCUAAUACAUGCAAGUCGAGCGAACAGAUGAGGAGCUUGCUCCUCUGACGUUAGCGGCGGACGGGUGAGUAACACGUGGAUAACCUACCUAUAAGACUGAGAUAACUUCGGGAAACCGGAGCUAAUACCGGAUAAUAUAUUGAACCGCAUGGUUCAAUAGUGAAAGACGGUUUUGCUGUCACUUAUAGAUGGAUCCGCGCCGCAUUAGCUAGUUGGUAAGGUAACGGCUUACCAAGGCAACGAUGCGUAGCCGACCUGAGAGGGUGAUCGGCCACACUGGAACUGAGACACGGUCCAGACUCCUACGGGAGGCAGCAGUAGGGAAUCUUCCGCAAUGGGCGAAAGCCUGACGGAGCAACGCCGCGUGAGGGAUGAAGGUCUUCGGAUCGUAAAACUCUGUUAUUAGGGAAGAACAAAUGUGUAAGUAACUAUGCACGUCUUGACGGUACCUAAUCAGAAAGCCACGGCUAACUACGUG
rnacentral:rRNA from 1 species